rnacentral:lncRNA from 1 species
GCCAACUACCUUUUUUAGAAACAUGCCGUGCUACCUUUGUUCUGACGUUUGUGUCUGCUUCUUAUGGGAACAGAAUUAGUUUCACAAUGGUAAUUGCAGAGAAAACGAUAUGAUGUUUGAUUCUUAUGAGUCAUGAAGAAACAGAAAAUCUGGGUUAAUUCAAAUGAGUAAGAUGGAAUCUGUAUUUUAAAAUUCUAGAUUGAUGAUAAAUCUGGGACAGGAGUGCUUCAAUCUGAGUUUUAUCAAACAUUUAAAAAAUAAUACUAAUUCUCUCAUACAUUCAAAAAUAAUAAUAAAGCACAAAGAAUUGUUCCAAACUCAUUUCGCAGAAAUACUGUAUCCUGAAUCAAAAGCUUGACAAGGACACUAUGGGGAAAGAAAAUUCCUGCCCAAUAUCUCUGAAGGACAUUGUUGCCAGCAACCUGAAAAUUCAUAGCAAGCAGAAUCUAACAGCACAGUAAAAAGAUCAUUCACCCUGAUGGACUGGGAUUUACACCUGGGAUGAAGGAUGGGUCAGCACACACAAAUGAGUAAGUGGGAUGCUCACAUGAGCAGAAUGAAAGGUGAAGACCAGUGAUCCUCUCCAUGAAUGCAGAAACAGCAUCCACAAUUGAUGGGAAAUAGCAUCAAUCAUGAUAAAAACUUUCAAGCAAUUAGGCAUGGAAGGAAUGUACCCAGACAUAGUGAAGACCAUGAGUGACAAGCCCCCCCCAACAUCAUACUCAAUAUGACAGGCCAAAGCCUUUUCCUCUAACGAGCACAUACUUCUCUCUUCUGUUCAGCUUUGGACUGGAAGUCCUAGCCACAGCAAAUAGCAGGAAAAAGAAAUGAUUAAUAUUGUAAUGAUGCACAUACUACUGAAAUUGAACCAUGGAUUCAGUGAAAUUCCAAUGAAAAUUCUAACAGCAGUUUUCACAGAGUUGGAAAAACCAGUCCUCAAAGUCACAUGGAAUAUAUAUCAAAAUACUGUUGAGCUGCAAAAAUGGUUGGGGUCAUCACACUUGGUGAUUUCAAAUAUUAUCAAAGGGCUAUAGUAAUCUAAUUGGCACAUUAGUGGCAUAAAAAUAAUAUCAUUAAUCACUGAAAGAGAAUGAGGAUCCUGAAGUUAACCCAAACACAUACAGUGACCUAACCUUUGACAGGGCAUCGAAAAUUCGCAAUGAUGAAACGAUGGCUCUGCAAUUGCCCAUGAAGGGAACUCUGGAUCUUCAUAUGCAAAAAAGGAUGUUGGGCCUUUUCCUAUCACCAUACAAAGACAUCCCUUCAAAUAGAAUUAAGGAUGUACAGGUAAGAUUGUCUCCAUAUAAUUUCUUGGAUAAAAUCUUAACAAAAAACUCUUUGACUUAUUUUUUUUUGGAUAUACCACAAAAUUAUGGAUGACAGAAAAAUAAACAAGUAGGACAAUUUCAAACUAAAGAGUUACUGAAUGACAAGAAAAGAAUAAAUUGAAAAGGAAGCAGAAUCAGAGAAGGUUUCACAAAUACUGUAUCAGAUGCUGGGGGCACAUCCAUCAUGCAACUCAAGAACUAAAGAAAACACGUGUCAUGAAUAGACAGUUAUUCUAAACGAGUUCUUUCGAUGGCCAAAGGCAAAUGAAGUGGUGCUCUACCUCACAGACCAUGAGAGAAACGAAAGUCAAAAUCACCAUGAGAUGUAACUUCAUCAAAUGGCCAUUAUGAUAAAGCAAGAGGAACAAGCAGCAGUGGAGACGGGAAUUAAAGCAGACUCCUGGACACUGCUGGUGGGAGUUCAGUGGAACAACCUUGAUGGAAAUUGGGUGGAGUUGGCUCAAAACUUUGCAACUCCAUCAACCAUGUGCCCUGGCAAUCCCGCCUCAACACACACAGAGGAAUUGACAUCAGUCUCUCAAAGGUGUCUGCCUCCUGUGUUCACUGCACCAUGUUCAUAAAACCAAGAUAUAGAUACAACCUGCGUGUCCACCAAUGAACACGAGGAUGCAAUGAUUGUGUUGUAUGGAUGGAUACAUGACACACACACACACACACACACAUACACUCAAUGAAAUAGUAUUCCUUCACGAGCAGGAAGAAAUGCUCUCAAUUAUAACAAGAUGGAUGAACCUGGAACAUACUGUAUUACUAAGACCAGACAAAAAAGGAAAUAUUCUAUGAUCUCACCUGUAUGAGACCCCUGAAAAUGUUGCACUUAGAGAAAGGGAAAGAGUGAGAGGUGGAUGCCAGGAGCUUGAAGCAGGAAACUAUGGACAUGUUAUUGACAGGUACAAACUUUCAUGCACUUGAGGAAAAUGUUCAGCGUAUCCAAGGUAAUGUUUGAUGAGAAGAUGGUAUUAAGGUCUGGUGUACUUAUGGUUGGCUGAAAAGUGAUCUAAAAUACUCUCAACUCACAAAAACACAUACUGAUUGGUCAACCAUGUUGAUUUUGGGGGUCAUUUCAGAGCACACAGCAGAUGAAUAAUUCUUUACCUAAGUAUUUAUUGGAAAUAUUUUAAUUAGACCUCAAUAAAGUUAAAAUAAAUCUGUAAAAUUAAAAUGAAUAAAACAGAUUAAACUGAAGGCAGAUUGCAAGACUGUAAAAUACCACAUCCCACGUGUGUACUAAUAGAGUCACACUGUACAUACAAAAGCACAUGGGUCAAAAGCAACAGCAUGGACAAGUCUUGGGCACGAGCUCCUCAGCAGAUCCCGGACGGUCCCAGUCAGAGCAGAUGAACUGGCCUUGCAGCACCAGCACACGAGCUGAGUAACACCCACCCAGUGAAGGACAUAUGGGGACUUCCAAGGAACAAUGAUGAUCACAAACUGCACUCGGACUUACCUAAAGGUGUUGCCCUCCAUAUGUUGGGAAAUGUGCUUUAGGGGACAGAACCCCUGGGUAUAAAAAGCCCACUGCAUUGAAAUGCACCCCUUAAAUGGCUGUCCUCAAAUACACAAGGCGUCAAUAUUUAUGGUGUAAACACACACAUCCUUAGUGGACCACAGUGGGCGGAACACACCAGGUCAGGACACAACAAACCCACAGGUCAAUUCACAUUCCACCUAACUGCUAUAAAAGCACCACCCCCACAGUCACUGUGAGAUCCCAGCUUUCUCCCCAGGCACUUGAGAAGCAGGGGGGAAAUGCACCCAGCAGCCAGCCCUGAAGUGAGGGCCACAAGUGCAAGGGCUCAUGUGACAUGGCAAUUCAUCUGGAGUCACAAAAGAGAAACAGGAAAACCCUGAUCUUCAGUAUGUUCAAAACACAAAGCACCUUUUACUUACCACCUGGUGACUCAAACUAUUAUGCAAAGCACUGUGGAUGUGCCUUCCGGAAGUAAACGUGAAGACUGGAUGAGAGCCCAUGGAAGAAUGAUGGCAUUAGAACAGGAAGAGCAGAAGGAGCCCUAGAAAAGGAGGGAGAGAGAAUUUCUGUGAAGGCAGCAGAAAAAUAUCAAACAACCUCAAUAGAAAGGAAAAGCAAAGGCAAACACAGUUCCUUGGACAGACUGCUGCAUUUAUCCCCUCCUGUGAGACUGUCCCACUGCCCCAUGUGAAGGCGCCACAGUGUCAGGUGCACAGUGUGAGAAAGAGACACUGAGAAACCGCACACGUGUGUGAAAAGGUGAUGUUGGGAUGGACUAUGUCAGUGAAUUCAGAGGUAUGAGACUUGAGAAAACCCUAGGAGACUCGACUUACCAUAGAUUUCAGACCCGCAGGCAGCACAGUGCAGUGCUCCCCAGCAUGACAUCGAAUAUUGGGAAAAAGGGCUUCCUAAGGAUUCCCAAGGAAUGCUUCAACAGCGAAGGAUGCCAACCACCAGAUGCAGAAACAUCUGCAAACACUUCCUAAGGGCAGGAAAGUGGAUUCUCUUAAUCACACGGUGAGGGCCGCAUAGCCUUCAUAACAGAAGGAAAUGUAGUUGAAACAUUGAUGACAAGAGUGUGUCCUUCCACUUCCAGAUGAAAAGCAAUCUGCACAAAAUCAUGGCUGACAGGAAUCCCACACUGUGCAAAAGGAUUCCAGCAAAUGAGCAAGUGAGUUGCCCAUAAGUGCAAGGAGGCUCAGCGUUAGAAAGGUCAGCUGUGUGACCACCCCCAGGAGUAGACUCAAGGAGAAAUCUCCUCAUCAACCUCAAUAGACACAGAAAAUCAUGGGAUUAAAUGCCACACAUAUAAAGUUAAAAGUUUUAGAGAUAAAAAUAAAAAGGAUUUGUUUCUGUGAAAAAAUAUCAAUAAUAUCAACAAUACCCUGUUUGGGGUUAAAUGUGGAAAGCUUCCCUCUCAUAUCAGAUACCAGUGCAGAUAACUUCUCUCUCUGCUUUUGCCCCUUAUGACAGUAGAGGGCUUUAUUGUAAAUACAGAAGGAAUAAUCUAUAAUCACUGGGAAAAAGUCAAUAUUUUGUUUCUUCAUACAUGCAUCAAAUUCUGUGGACAAAAUUCUGAAAACAAAGUACUAAAUUAUAUAAAUCAUUUGAGAGAUGAUGAAGUCUGUUGGGAACAGCUCAGUAUAAAAAUCACUUGAGGUCUGUAUUCCACCAUAAAACUAUGAUUCAAACACCAUUCAAGAAUCACACAGUUAAGUUGCAUCAAAUAAAAUGAACCUCCAAAUUAUUACAUGAUAAACUUAGGCUAUAAAUUUUAUAAAUAAAUUUAUAAAUAAAAAUGGGCAUAUCAUGAGAGGAAGGACAUUCAGGGGGAAACCAGACAUCAAAUGCAGUCCUUACCGGGCAUGGACUGGGCAAGGGGAAUAGAGCCCCAGGUUCCCCUCCUCUCUCUCCAGGCCCAGGGCUGCAGGGCCCUGCUCCAGGCAGUCGGCCUCCCUGACACGGUGAGGAGUCUUGGAAAGGCUGCGCCUGGCCCUGUAUUUCAGGGGCAGAAUGACAGGACCUCUCCUCCCAGGGCACAUCACUCACCUGUCCCCUGUUGCCCCAAGGACCUUGUUUACUGUGCCUCAUUUUGAAGCCAAGGAGGAGCAACGGGUCCUCUCCCAGGGGCACGGGGGAUCUCCUGGUGGACUGCCAGGUGGAGUGAGUGCAGUUACUACCUGAGAACGUGGUUUUCCCAAGAUGAAUCCAGAAAGUGAACUUCAGCAUCCAGGAAGUCAUUAAAGACUAGUUUCCACACAACUGGUGGAAAUGACCACAAGCCUGGAUCCAAGCUGACCCUGAGCAGGACCCUGAGAUCAUGCUGGCUGCUCCACAGGAGGCCACUGUGUCUCCUCCGCCCACCAUGGGUUUUACCUUCCUUCAGGCUCCAUGCAGCACAGGCUGGUGCAGGGCACAGGGUGAACUGCCACCACAGCACAGGGAGCAGCCAUGUGUGGAGCACGCGUGGCCUGUGUGGACCUGUCUCUCCUUUCAGAAUUGUGGAGACGUGGGAAGUGCUCCAGAACUGAGCUCUGAAAUGUUUCCCAUGCAACCUGUGAUAGAAGCUCAAUAAAUGUAGUUAAGGCACAUUCCUAACGUGAUGAAUUGUGAAAUAAAGUCAGUGACUCUCAACACCUAAAAUACAUGCUCCCAAGACUAAUGAAAUGUCAGUUCUCCUAAGGCCCCAAAUCCCCGCAUUGCCCAUAUAUCCUUCACCUUCUAAAACCUGUGCAGAUUUAAAUUUACCAGUACAAUCUUAGGGUUGUUAUGGUCUUGUGCUUUUGCAGAAGGCAUAUGCUGCAUGAAUUGUUCUCAAGUUGACAUUUUUAUCUUCUAGAGGGAUUUUCUAUUUUCUGGAGCUUAAACUUGAAGUUGCUGGUUACUUUUUUUCCUGCUGCCCUGCAUUCCUUCUAUGAGUAUGCUAGAAAAAACAUUAAUUCUAUGUAGAAAAUACCUAGCAUGAAA